GAUGAACGCUGGCGGCGUGCUUAACACAUGCAAGUCGAACGAAGCGAUUUGAAUGAAGUUUUCGGAUGGAUUUUAAAUUGACUGAGUGGCGGACGGGUGAGUAACGCGUGGGUAACCUGCCCCAUACAGGGGGAUAACAGUUAGAAAUGACUGCUAAUACCGCAUAAGACCACAGCGCCGCAUGGUGCAGGGGUAAAAACUCCGGUGGUAUGGGAUGGACCCGCGUCUGAUUAGCUAGUUGGCGGGGUAACGGCCCACCAAGGCGACGAUCAGUAGCCGACCUGAGAGGGUGACCGGCCACAUUGGGACUGAGACACGGCCCAAACUCCUACGGGAGGCAGCAGUGGGGAAUAUUGCACAAUGGGGGGAAACCCUGAUGCAGCGACGCCGCGUGAGUGAUGAAGUAUUUCGGUAUGUAAAGCUCUAUCAGCAGGGAAGAAAAUGACGGUACCUGACUAAGAAGCCCUGGCUAACUACGUG
rnacentral:rRNA from 1 species